CGGGUGGAGCCGCAAUGUCGCUCGUCCCGGGGCAUUCAGCCCGUUUUCUCGCCGCCAGGCCUUUUCGGUGUUGGGGUGCGCUCGCGCGUGCCUUCUCCGGGAGGGUUUUUUCAUUUGGUGGCGAGACGGGUGCACUUGCUCCGGUCGUCGAGAGCCACGACCGGUUCCUUCGCAGGCAGUGUGGACUCCCUUGGUCGGGCUAACGGCAGGACGAACGUUGCUCUGUUUACAGGGCCUCGAUCUCUUGCUCCGACUGGGAGGGAAACUGGCCUGGGGACCGAGGACCGCAUCGGGUCGGCGUCUCCGUUACUCUCGAGCCGUGUGCCCUUGCUGCCUCUUUUGGUGGCAAGACGGGCGCGAGGACGCAUCGGGAGGGAGCGGGUGGCGCUUCGCCUAAAUGGUGCUUGUCGGUGGCGGAUCAGGUCGGUACUCCA
rnacentral:rRNA from 1 species